rnacentral:tRNA from 1 species
GGCCUCGUAGCUCAACUGGUAGAGCAUGCGCGUACAAAGCGUAGGCGGCGUCCAUGCGUGGGUUCGAACCCCACUGAGGCUA